UACGUAGGGUGCGAGCGUUGUCCGGAAUUACUGGGCGUAAAGAGCUCGUAGGUGGUUUGUCGCGUUGUUCGUGAAAACCGGGGGCUUAACCCUCGGCGUGCGGGCGAUACGGGCAGACUGGAGUACUGCAGGGGAGACUGGAAUUCCUGGUGUAGCGGUGGAAUGCGCAGAUAUCAGGUGGAACACCGGUGGCGAAGGCGGUUCUCUGGGCAUUACCUGACGCUGAGGAGCGAAAGUGUGGGGAGCGAACAGG
rnacentral:rRNA from 1 species